rnacentral:rRNA from 1 species
AUGAACGCUGGCGGCGUGCCUAAUACAUGCAAGUCGAGCGAACGGACGAGAAGCUUGCUUCUCUAAUGUUAGCGGCGGACGGGUGAGUAACACGUGGAUAACCUACCUAUAAGACUGGGAUAACUUCGGGAAACCGUAGCUAAUACCGGAUAAUAUUUUGAACCGCAUGGUUCAAAAGUGAAAGACGGUCUUGCUGUCACUUACAGAUGGAUCCGCGCUGCAUUAGCUAGUUGGUAAGGUAACGGCUUACCAAGGCAACGAUGCAUAGCCGACCUGAGAGGGUGAUCGGCCACACUGGAACUGAGACACGGUCCAGACUCCUACGGGAGGCAGCAGUAGGGAAUCUUCCGCAAUGGGCGAAAGCCUGACGGAGCAACGCCGCGUGAGUGAUGAAGGUCUUCGGAUCGUAAAACUCUGUUAUUAGGGAAGAACAUAUGUGUAAGUAACUGUGCACAUCUUGACGGUACCUAAUCAGAAAGCCACGGCUAACUACGUG